rnacentral:sRNA from 1 species
ACACCAAAUAUGCCCUUUCCAGAGCUACCCAGACCAUAUGGUGCACCCACAGAUCCAGCUGCAGCUGGUCCUUUAGGUCCAUGGGGAUCCAUGUCUUCUGGACCUUGGGCGCCAGGAAUGGGAGGGCAGUAUCCUACCCCUAAUAUGCCAUAUCCAUCUCCAGGCCCAUAUCCCGCUCCUCCUCCUCCCCAAGCCCCUGGGGCAGCACCACCUGUUCCAUGGGGCACCGUUCCACCAGGAGCCUGGGGACCACCAGCACCAUAUCCUGCCCCUACAGGAUCGUAUCCCACACCAGGACUCUAUCCUACUCCCAGUAAUCCUUUCCAAGUGCCUUCAGGACCUUCUGGUGCUCCACCAAUGCCUGGUGGCCCCCAUACAACCCAGUGUGGGGUUAACAUCUUAGUUGAGGAGCCUGCCUUGGUCAUAUAACCAAAUGGAAAAGUACCCCACUUCCCCUGUGAGUCUUACCAUUAAGUUAACAAUGGACGAAGAGAUGACGCUUUGCUUUUUGAAGUAC